rnacentral:tRNA from 1 species
GUCCUCGUAGUUAAAAGGAUAUAACAAGGGAUUCCUAAUCCCUAGUUUCGGGUUCGAAUCCCGGCGAGGGCA